rnacentral:rRNA from 1 species
AUUGAACGCUGGCGGCAUGCUUUACACAUGCAAGUCGAACGGUAACAGGCCUUCGGGUGCUGACGAGUGGCGAACGGGUGAGUAAUGCAUCGGAACGUACCCAGAGGUGGGGGAUAACGCAGCGAAAGCUGUGCUAAUACCGCAUGUGAUCUGAGGAUGAAAGCGGGGGACCGAGCAGCAAUGUUUGGCCUCGCGCCUUUGGAGCGGCCGAUGUCGGAUUAGCUAGUUGGUGGGGUAAAGGCCUACCAAGGCGACGAUCCGUAGCUGGUCUGAGAGGACGACCAGCCACACUGGGACUGAGACACGGCCCAGACUCCUACGGGAGGCAGCAGUGGGGAAUUUUGGACAAUGGGCGCAAGCCUGAUCCAGCAAUGCCGCGUGCGGGAAGAAGGCCUUCGGGUUGUAAACCGCUUUUGGCAGGAACGAAACGGUGUCCGCUAAUACCGGGCGCUAAUGACGGUACCUGCAGAAUAAGCACCGGCUACUACGUG